rnacentral:rRNA from 1 species
AACGAACGCUGGCGGCAUGCCUAACACAUGCAAGUCGAACGAGACCUUCGGGUCUAGUGGCGCACGGGUGCGUAACGCGUGGGAACCUGCCCUUAGGUUCGGAAUAACUCCCCGAAAGGGGUGCUAAUACCGGAUAAUGUCUUCGGACCAAAGAUUUAUCGCCUUUGGAUGGGCCCGCGUUGGAUUAGCUAGUUGGUAGGGUAAAAGCCUACCAAGGCGACGAUCCAUAGCUGGUCUGAGAGGAUGAGCAGCCACACUGGGACUGAGACACGGCCCAGACUCCUACGGGAGGCAGCAGUGGGGAAUAUUGGACAAUGGGCGAAAGCCUGAUCCAGCAAUGCCGCGUGAGUGAUGAAGGCCUUAGGGUUGUAAAGCUCUUUUACCCGGGAUGAUAAUGACAGUACCGGGAGAAUAAGCGCCGGCUAACUCCGUG